rnacentral:rRNA from 1 species
GAUGAACGCUGGCGGCGUGCCUAAUACAUGCAAGUCGAGCGAACGGACGCGAAGCUUGCUUCUCUGAUGUUAGCGGCGGACGGGUGAGUAACACGUGGAUAACCUACCUAUAAGACUGGGAUCACUUCGGGAAACCGGAGCUAAUACCGGAUAAUCUUUUGAACCGCAUGGUUCAAAAGUGAAAGACGGUCUUGCUGUCACUUAUAGAUGGAUCCGCGCUGCAUUAGCUAGUUGGUAAGGUAACGGCUUACCAAGGCAACGAUGCAUAGCCGACCUGAGAGGGUGAUCGGCCACACUGGAACUGAGACACGGUCCAGACUCCUACGGGAGGCAGCAGUAGGGAAUCUUCCGCAAUGGGCGAAAGCCUGACGGAGCAACGCCGCGUGAGUGAUGAAGGUCUUCGGAUCGUAAAACUCUGUUAUUAGGGAAGAACAUAUGUGUAAGUAACUGUGCACAUCUUGACGGUACCUAAUCAGAAAGCCACGGCUAACUACGUG